UGGAAGACUAGUGAUUUUGUUGUUUUUAGAUAACAACAUUGACAACAAAUCACAGUCUGCCAUA
rnacentral:pre_miRNA from 1 species